GUCGAAUUCACGAAACCUACAAUCAUUAUAUUGCUGAACUUCAAGUUUAUCGUCAGAUAUUAAACGAGUACAGUUUAUAUUCGGAAAAUACAAAAUGAUUAAAUAUUUUUGUAUCGCGUUACUUGUAACAAUGUUUGUGGAAAACAGUGUACAAGGUGGAUGGGGAAAGGUAAAUUAUGCGAAUGAUAUGAGCCAGGUUAAAGAUUCAGA